rnacentral:rRNA from 1 species
UACGGGGGGGGGCAAGCGUUGUUCGGAAUUACUGGGCGUAAAGGGCGCGUAGGCGGUUGGAUAAGUCAGCUGUGAAAACCACGAGCUUAACUCGUGGCCUGCAGUUGAGACUGUCUGGCUUGAGUGUGGGAGAGGAGAGUGGAAUUCCUGGUGUAGCGGUGAAAUGCGUAGAUAUCAGGAGGAACACCGGUGGCGAAGGCGGCAUCCUGGACCGAGAUUGACGCGUGAGGCGACGAAAGCCCAGGGGAGCAAACGGG